rnacentral:rRNA from 1 species
CUACGUGCCAGCAGCCGCGGUAAUACGUAGGGGGCAAGCGUUAUCCGGAUUUACUGGGUGUAAAGGGAGCGUAGACGGAAUGGCAAGUCUGAAGUGAAAUACCCGGGCUCAACCUGGGAACUGCUUUGGAAACUGUUGUUCUAGAGUGUUGGAGAGGUAAGUGGAAUUCCUGGUGUAGCGGUGAAAUGCGUAGAUAUCAGGAAGAACACCGGAGGCGAAGGCGGCUUACUGGACAAUAACUGACGUUGAGGCUCGAAAGCGUGGGGAUCAAACAGGAUUAGAUACCCUGGUAGUCCACGCCGUAAACGAUGAGUGCUAGGUGUUAGACCCUUUCCGGGGCUUAGUGCCGCAGCUAACGCAUUAAGCACUCCGCCUGGGGAGUACGACCGCAAGGUUGAAACUCAAAGGAAUUGACGGGGGCCCGCACAAGCGGUGGAGCAUGUGGUUUAAUUCGAAGCAACGCGAAGAACCUUACCAGGUCUUGAC